AUGUCCAGUACCUCCUUCUCUCUCCUCACGCGGACCAACUAUCCCAGUUGGUCCGUCCUGAUGAAAGUCAUCAUGGAGGCGCGGCAUAUGUGGGAAGCCGUGGAAACCGGCAAUGUCGAGUACGAGGAGGACCGGCUGGCGAUGGAGGCGAUCUUGCACUCCGUCCCAGAGGAGAUGGUGCUCACCCUUGGCGCCAAGGAGACGGCCAAGGAAUCAUGGGACACCAUCAAGACUCUACGCAUCGGCGUGGAGCGCGUACGGGAGUCGAAGGCCCGGACCUUGCGCCUCUAGUACGAGGAGAUCCGGUUCAAGGCCGGUGAACAAGUCGACGACUUCGCCUUGCGGCUGCAAGGUCUCGUCAACGAGCUCGCAACGCUCAGAGAUCACACCGACAACAAGAUGGUGAUUCUCAAGUUCCUCCGCGUCGUCACCAGAUAGUGCAAGCAACUGGCCUGGUCCAUGGAGAGUUUGGUGGAUCUCUCCACCAUGGCGAUCGAGGAGCUGGUAGGGCGGCUGAAGGUCGUCGAGGAGCGCGGCGACGAAGCCGACAACCGUGCUGGCGACGAACUACUGCUCACCAGGGAGCAGUGGGACGCGCAGCUUCAGCGACUCCGACCAUGCUGGUGA
rnacentral:rRNA from 1 species